AUAGACAGAUCAAGCUUCUCUGCUGACAUUGUCUACUGGCAGAUGCAUUCAUUGAUUCACUUGCUCAUUCAACAAAUAUUUAUAGAAUACUUAUCAUGUGCUAGCUCCUGAGUUUGGUUUAAUGUCUUUCUGGACAACUCAUACCCUGACCUCUGAACCCCACUCACCAUGAUGACAUCUUAAUAUCCAUCACUUGCUAAAGCAAUUUGGUAUGACAAUGCAUAGUUUUUCUUAUUUUUUUUUUUAGAAAAAAUACUUUUUAUUUGGAGAAGUAGACAUAAUACCAAUCCUGCUCACUCAUGGACAGAUGCCCUCUUCAUGCAUCCCUAUGGUCCUCUAUCCUGGGGUGGGCAAUGCCAAGCCAAAUAUUUAUCAAUUUAAUUUGCCUUUUAGAAAAGCAGAAUAGGGUUCUAGAAUGGGAGAAAGUUUACAUGAAUAAAAUAGGCAGCAGAUGUCUAUAAGUUUACCAAGAACAUAGCAGGAAGUGCAAUGAAGUAAGAAGAGCUAAGCAGAGGGAUGCUUGUGUAUUUUCUAAAUACUUACUCCCUUGCCGUUUUCCUCCGAGACCCAUUUGCUUCUUUUGCAGUCUGGCUCAAUCCAUUUAUAUUCAUUUGAAUGUUUGUUUCUCUUUUUACUUGUUCAUUUUCUCUGUAGCCUUCAGUCAUUCCUGACAAGGUGAUUUCAGCCUCAUUUUUUGUUGGUUCUUAUUUCAUUAUCUUUCAAGAGACAAAAACUUCUACUUUUACUGGGGGAAAAAAAAGGAUAGUACUUCAUAAAACUUUCAGUCUUGCAGACUGGAGAAGAGAUUUGUUCUUGCUAUAUUAGGAAAGGUGGAAAGACUUUUGAGCAUAGAAUAUACAGAGAUUAGUUAUAGUAGGAAAAAAAAGAAAUGAUCCAGUUAGAACCAAUGUCACCAAAAGCAUAUUUGAAUAUAUUGUCUUCAUAUUAAAAUACUUCACAAAUUUUAAAAUAGCUGUCCCCAUGCCAACUUAUAGUAAUAUUUAUCUGACUUGUUCAAGAAAAAAAAGAAAAGAAAAGAGAUCCUCCUGGGUGUUUUUGAUGAAAGCAUUGAAAGUAAAUUAUACUUGAAAAUUGUGUUAUGUUUCAAAUAGAGAAACAGACUCUUCAAAAGCAUACAACAUGCUUUGAAUGUUUCACUCAAGUGCAAAUUGUUUUUUUGAAAAAAAAUUAGUUACACAGAAAUGAAUUUGAGACCUGAAUUUAAUUGUGAAUUUACAGUUAUGCAGUCAAAUCAGUUAUAAUUUUCUUUUGGUACCAAUUUCAGAUAUAUUAAAAAAACACAUCCAGAUUUAAACUCAGGAUAAGAAUAAGACUAUCUAGUUUAAGGAUUUCAUAGAAAACAUGUUUGGGGCAAAAUAUGUCUUACAUUGUAGACUCUGGAGAUUAUUAAGUAAAAAUAAGUUUAAAAUGAAAAAGCAGCAGAAACUAUCAAGUUUAUGCAAGAUCCCAGGAAUUGAUUUUUCAACCUGUGCUCAAGCAUCUUGGUAGGGCAUUAUGUAUGGCACUUAUGAGGCUUUAGCAGGAGAAGCUGAUUAAUUUCCUUUGUAGUUCUUUCUCUGAAACAGUUCACCUCUCUCCCUCUGCUCUCCUUGCAGUCUUUAAUGGUCAAGCAUAUAUCCAGAGAAAUCUGCAUAACCAUGGAUCCUGAAUCAGGUAGAUUAUCUUUGCCUCUGUUGAAAUGAAUGCAACAAUUCCUUCAAUAGAAUUAGUUUCUGAGAUUCCCGCCCAGUUGAUAUGAACAAUUACUGUUGUCAUUGAAUUAAUUUCCCCCUUCUACCCACUAGUUUAAUUGAAAAUUGAAAAAAAAUUACUUAAAUAUUCUCUUCCUUUGCUGACAAAUUUUAGAUAUGUGUGAAGACUGAUCUAAAUAUUUAUAUAGAAAAAGAGUGAUGAGAAUAUGGGGAAUAAGAUAUGAGAGACAUAAAGAAGGAAAAGCAAUGGGAAUAGGUGGUUGACAUGCUGAUGGAGAUGUGGAGGGAAUAUCUAUGCAGGUUUCAAGUCUUGAAAUCUUAGAGGGGUUUUAUGAUAGCAUAGGUGGUUGCCAGUGUCAAUUCAGAGAAAUCGAAAGUACUACACUUAAAAAAGAAAUCAUGAAGUUUGUUCACUUAGAGGUCACUGGUGAUAUUUGAGAUGAUAAACAGAAACAUUUCUCAUCAUUCUGGAGCCUAGGAAAUUCAAGGCCAAGGAGCCAGCAGAUUUUGUGUCUGGAGAGGGUCUUCUUGCUGGUCUUUUUACAGUGUGUCUUAAAUGGCAGAGGUGCAAGGGAGCUCUCUGGGACCUCUUACAUAAAAGCACUAAUUCUAGUCAUGGGGGUGCUCACCCUCAUGACUUAAUCACCUGCUCAAACUCCACUUCCAAAUCCACCCCACUAGAAUUAGGUUUCAACAUACGAAUUUUGGGAGGACACAAACAUUCUGGCCAUAGCAAGACUUAAGUACAUUUUGUUCUGGGAUUGAAGACCUAAGCAUGAGUGCAGAAACUAGGGAGAAAUUGAUAGAAGGUGUGGGAGAAAGGGAGUAUCAGGCAAGAAAUGAUGAUAGGAGAGAAAAUACAAGGGUAAUAACCUUUAAGAUAAGAAGGGACAUUAUUUCCUCUGUAGUCAGAGAAGAAGGAUAAGAUGUGAGUGGUAUCAUGCUUCGCAUUAAUCUUUCACUUAAUUCUCAUACCACCCAUGAAACACUCAGAUCAUUGUCACUGUGUUAUAGCUAAGAAGACCGAGACUUAGGGUAAAUCACACUGAAACUGACAACACUUAUGCCUUGAACCCAGUGAAAAGCCAGACUGGGACUUGAACCCAUGUUUUUUAAAUUAGAAUCACUCACCCAGUGUCUGGACUUAACUGAGGUUCAGGUUCUUUGUGUCUCAGUGCAGAUGGGAUUCAGCGAGACAAAGUGAUAGGCAAGAAAUAGAUUUAUUAAGAUAAAAUGUUUGUGAGAGAUGCAAGUGGGUGGACAAGGAGGCAUUGCCCCAGGAUUUGUUGGGCUACAUUUCUAUAAUCCAAGGGAAGUGGUGAGUGGGAAAAGACCAUCUCUUCCUCUUUCUUUAAGUAGACAUCAAGCUUAUAUCUUUAGUUCCUCCUUUGUGUCUGGUAAGGGAGUAUUUGACCCUAUGAGGUCAAAGUAGGACUGUCAUGGUGCUUAUUCAAAUCAGCAGAAGGGUGGUAACAUAUGCUAAAAUAUAUUGAAUCAUCUCAGGUUUCUGUAUAAUGAGGGUCUCCUACUUUCAAAUGUGGUCUUUCCUUAAACCCUUGCCCUUGGUCCUAAGGGUCAUUUUCUUGCUGAACUUGAAUGCAAGCCUCGUUUUAUCUUUCACUUAAUGACCUGAGGCCUAUCUCAUGAAGCAAGCCUGCUUCUCAUUCUGAUGGCUUUCUUGAGGUAUUAUUAAAUUACCGUGAUCUCCCAAAGUUCUCUAAGUUUCCCUCUCUAUCUAUGAUCCCCUAUUGGGACUUCUACAACUACCUGUAUAACUGUCCUACUCCAUCCCUAUCAACACUGCUGGUAAAUUCUGAGCCAGGGUUUAAACCCAGGUUUCUUUGAUUCCAGAGUAUGUGCUUGUCACCAUAGCACUAGCAUAAAAUUGCUACUACUUAACCAUUUUUGAAUAUAAAAUGUCACUUUCAUAAGGUUUAUCUUAAUAGAAUUAGUUGAAGUCUGUAAGAAAUAAAGUUUGAUGGCCUUUGAAUUGCUCAGAAGUCAUGUUUACAAUCCAGAGAAUCCACCCUGGCUACUUUAUGAGGAAGAAUAAUAUUAUUAAUGACAUCAUUUUUCCUGCAGAUUUUCUAGGAGGGUCAUGGAGCAGAGUCAUGAAGCCACACACUCAGGAAUAAGGAUCUACCAAACCCUGGGGGCUGUUCUGGAAUGUUAAGAUCACAGAACCAAUAUGAUAGAAACUCACGAUGUUAGAAACCAGACUCAUCACUUCCCACAGGUGCCCUUUUCUAUUUUUGGUUAAUGGCAUUAUCACUAUCCUCAUGGUUGUACCAUGGAGAAGUCUUGGAGCUAUCGUUUAUCAUAUUUCAGUAGAUUCACAGAGAUUCAGAUUGGUUAAUUCGUUUUAUCCCUAUUGACUCUGAAACCAAUACCUAUUAGUCUUAUAUAUCUGCCAUCUAUUUUCUCAUAAUUCUACCCAGACUGUUUUUUUUUUUUCCUCCUUAAUCCUGUCUGUUUAACUGUUGCCUAUUUUUCUAGUUUCUUUUCAAACAGCAAUUCUUCUAGGAAGCCUUUCAUAAUACCUACAGGCAGAAUCAUCUGGCCUCUUUAUGACCCCCACCUCCACCCCACAACACUGUCUUUAUUAUGGUAUAGAUCUCACUUGCCCUUGGAUUAAAGUGUUGGUGUGAACACUUUCUACUUUUCUUCCACAGAUCCCACAGGCUCCCUCCCAUUGUUUAUGUUUCCAGUGGCACCUAGAAUCAUCACAGCAGGUGUUCAGUACGUGUUUAUUGAAAGUUCAGCAAACUUUUUUAGUCCCAAAGGCCAAGAAAGUGGUUAGUAACAAUAACUGGCUUAAUACUUAGUCAAUAAAAAUGGACAGAACAAAAAUCAGAACAUUGUGGGUUUAAGAGUUUUAGAAAAAGUUAAUGGAAGGAAAAUACAGCAGGAAAAUAGAAUAUCGUUUAAAAUAUUUAUUUAACAAACUUACAUUGCAAGCCUACAAUACGCCAGGCAGUAUUCCAGGCCCUGGGGAUACAACACUAAAUAAUUAGAUAAGAUCUCAAUGCUUACGGUGCCUGUAUUCUAGUGGGGAAAAGAAAGAGACAAUAAGCUGAUACAUAUGUAAAAUUGCAGGUUGUGGGAAGUGCAUAAGAAAUGUAAAUCAGUCUAAGAGCAGAGUGGGGUGGGAGGUGCAGCAGUGCAUAUUCAGUAAGUGAAUCAUUUGAGCAGAGUUCUGAAUGAAGUAAGAGAUUUCUGGGCAAAGAACAUUCUACCAGAGGAUGUGUAACUGUGGCAGCUUGUACUGGGUUGUUUGACACAUGCUUGGCAGUUAGAGGAACUACGAGGAGACUGAUGUGGCUAGAGCAGAGUGAGUAGCAAAGAGAACUGUAGGAGAAAGAGAGCUACAUUGUGAAUUAAGAAACAACAAACAACUGCCCUGCACUGUUCAGCUUGCCCUCUGCUGUGCUAUUCCCAUGCAAACAAGGCUUUUUGACCCUUACGGGAUUUGGGAUUUGGUGAUUGCAGUAAUUCUUAUUCACCCACAUACCAUGUUUCCACAGAGUGGAGGGUUCUCCAGUUCUACUUCCCAGAAUGUAGCAGUAUUCAAAUUAUGCUUAAGCAUGUGUGGCUGUGCCAGGUCCUAUCACCUCCCAGGUUAGGUAAGACAGGUCAGGCUUGUUCUGGGCAAUUAGCAGCCUCCAGCUAAGGGGAAAGGAUGAAGAAGCUUGGAUUUGGCAUCUAUUUCUCAAGCAUUCUCCAAAUCAGCUUUACAGAGCUCUUUACAAUAAAACUGUACAUCACUUUGGGCAGUUCUUUGGGUACUAAGGGUUUCCAGGGGAACUAGAAAGUGAUGAGACAAGUUCACCAGCCUCCCUGCAAAGGCAUUGCCCUAGAUGUCUGGUUUUUGUGUCAUCUUCCUUUCUCAAAUCUCUUUCUCAUCUUUAAUUACAAGGUUUCCCAAUUUUGGCAUUAAGGACAUUUUAGGCUAGAUAAUUUUUUUUUGUGAGGGUUGCUUUUUGUACUGUGGGAUUUUUUAGCAGGAUCCCUGGUCUCUAUCCAGUAGCUGCCAGUGGCAAUGUCUAAAGUCCUAGACAUUGCCAAAUGUUCACCAGGGAUCAAAAAUGCCCAUGUUGAGAACCUGUGUCUUAAUGAAGUAAUCUUGGAAGAU
rnacentral:lncRNA from 1 species